CAAUAUACAUGUUUUGCAUACUUCUUUAUUUUGCUUUCUGUAUGUGCCACACACUUCAAAUGCCAACUAAUUUUGUUGCGUCCAGUAGAUGUUCUACUAGAGCAAAUGAAGCUUCAAGAAGCUUUGUACUGGAGUGAACCUUUUGGAUGAAAGGCUUUAUUGCUUCACAAAGCUUCAUCUGCCCAUCACUAUGUAAAACAUGGAUGACAUAAACAAAACAAACCUUGACCAGUCCAGGGGCCCGUUUCAAGAAGGAGGUUUAACAAACUCUGAGUUUAAACUAAACUCUGAGUUGAUUUACACUGAGUUUGCAAACCUGGGGUUUUCGGUUUCAGAACAGCUGAAAAGAGUUGGUUUAAGCAACUCUGAGUUUGUCAUGAUCUGGGGUUUUGUUCUAGUUGUUUCCUGUUGUCACGCCAUGUCCUGUUUUAUUUUGUUAAGCUUCCUGUUCUCUGUCAGCUGUCACUUACCUGUUCCCAGUAUCCACACCUGUCAGUAAUUACGUAAUCACUCUGUGUAUUUAGCCACCACCUGUUUCCAUAGUCCUUUGCCAGAUCGUCGUUUGUGUUUCCUGAAUAUCCCGAGUUUCCUGAGUUUCUUAGUUUCCUGAGUGUCCUGAGUUUUCGAGUUUUCCCUCGUGUUUUGUUCCCGUUUCCUUUCACCGUCGUUUCCUGCCUGACCCUGGACUACUAUCAGACUCCAACAGAAAGUAGGCAGAGGAUAGAACAACUGGUGGAGGACCUGCACCUCCACCACUGACACAUGCAGAGGAGAUGGCCCUCAGCAUGAACACUGGAGAGAGGCUGAGGCUGAAGGAAUUCCUGGAGGGAGUUUAUCAGAACCAGUCACUCCCCAGGAUACAAGUGCAUGUGUAAAAUAUUCUGAUGGUUAUAUGUGAAUCUUCCUGUCACAACAGAAGCCCAGGAUGUUAGUGUGGAAGAACAGCAGGAGGAGUUUCAGUUACCGGUUAAGGAGUUGUAUAAACUAAAUCUCAAGGAAAUGUUAUACUUGGACCGCCAGAUUGAAAAGACAGAUCUAGAAAUUGAAAUUCUCAAACAAAAGCUGGAGGAAAUGAAGAAAACCAAAUAAAUUAUGAUUUGCAUUUAUUCAGUUUCUUUUACUGGUGGUGGUGGUGGUGAUGGUUGAUUAAGACAUUAAAGCAAAUCAAUCAUCAUCUGACUGCCCAUCCACUCUGCAGAUUACCGUGAUAGAAGGAGUCUCCUCAGGGUCCUGUAUUUGUAGGUCAGGGUGUUGCUCCCCUCUAAUAAUUGCAAUAUUGUGGAGAACAACACAUGUCACAAUAAUGUCACAGGCCUCUCAUGUUUUACCCUGAGGUGACGUAGGCACUCAAGACGUGCUUUCAACAGGCCUAUGGUCAUUUCCACCCGGACUCUUGUUCUGCAGGGCCACAUUAAAGCGCUGCUGGGGGCCUGCUUCAGGUUCUGGGCGAGGGGUCAGUAGUGUGUGCUGGCAUUAACCCCUAUCUCCAGCAGAAAGCUGUCAAUCUCUCCUAGAAGAAAGUUUAGAUUACUUUAGU